UGACAUAACAUGCUGCUUGAUAUUGAUACUGAUACAGACUAGCGCCCCCCAUUUCAGUCUCAGCACCCCCCUCUCAGAUUUCUUGUUCCAAACGUCCCAUGACAGUUGCUUCAUAGGUAACACC